rnacentral:rRNA from 1 species
AACGAACGCUGGCGGCAUGCCUAACACAUGCAAGUCGAACGGGAUCCUAGCUUGCUAGGUGAGAGUGGCGGACGGGUGAGUAACACGUGGGAAUCUGCCUUUUGGUUCGGGAUAACCGCGGGAAACUGCGGCUAAUACCGAAUGCCCUCGUGAGAGGAAAGAUUUAUCGCCAGAAGAGGAGCCCGCGUCCGAUUAGGUAGUUGGUGGGGUAAAGCCUACCAAGCCGACGAUCGGUAGCUGGUCUGAGAGGAUGAUCAGCCACACUGGGACUGAGAUACGGCCCAGACUCCUACGGGAGGCAGCAGUGGGGAAUAUUGGACAAUGGGGGCGAACCCUGAUCCAGCAAUGCCGCGUGAGUGAUGAAGGCCUUAGGGUUGUAAAGCUCUUUUGCCAGGGAAGAUGAUGACUGUACCUGGAGAAUAAGCCCCGGCUAACUUCGUGCCAGCAGCCGCGGUAAU